CCUACGGGAGGCUGCAGUGGGGAAUAUUGGACAAUGGGGGGAACCCUGAUCCAGCCAUGCCGCGUGUGUGAAGAAGGCCCUCGGGUUGUAAAGCACUUUCAGUGAGGAAGAACGCCUGGUGGUUAAUACCCAUCAGGAAAGACAUCACUCACAGAAGAAGCACCGGCUAACUCCGUGCCAGCAGCCGCGGUAAUACGGAGGGUGCGAGCGUUAAUCGGAAUUACUAGGCGUAAAGCGCGCGUAGGUGGCUUGAUAAGCCGGUUGUGAAAGCCCCGGGCUCAACCUGGGAACGGCAUCCGGAACUGUCAAGCUAGAGUGCAGGAGAGGAAGGUAGAAUUCCCGGUGUAGCGGUGAAAUGCGUAGAGAUCGGGAGGAAUACCAGUGGCGAAGGCGGCCUUCUGGACUGACACUGACACUGAGGUGCGAAAGCGUGGGUAGCAAACAGGAUUAGAUACCCUUGUAGUC
rnacentral:rRNA from 1 species